rnacentral:rRNA from 1 species
UGCCGAGGGUGCGAGCGUUAUUCGGAAUUACUGGGCGUAAAGCGCGCGUAGGCGGCUUUGCAAGUCGGGUGUGAAAUCCCCAGGCUUAACCUGGGAACUGCAUUCGAGACUGCAUUGCUAGAGUAUGGGAGAGGGAAGUGGAAUUUCCGGUGUAGCGGUGAAAUGCGUAGAUAUCGGAAGGAACAUCAGUGGCGAAAGCGACUUCCUGGACCAAUACUGACGCUCAUGUGCGAAAGCGUGGGGAGCAAACAGG